UAGGGCUUGGAAUCCAAUGUAUUCCAUUGCU
rnacentral:piRNA from 1 species